rnacentral:rRNA from 1 species
UACGUAGGUGGCAAGCGUUGUCCGGAUUUACUGGGCGUAAAGAGCGCGCAGGCGGUCGGUCAAGUCGGAUGUGAAAUCCCCCGGCUCAACUGGGGAGGGUCAUUCGAUACUGAUCGACUCGAAGGCAGGAGAGGGAAGCGGAAUUCCCGGUGUAGUGGUGAAAUGCGUAGAUAUCGGGAGGAACACCAGUGGCGAAGGCGGCUUCCUGGCCUGUUCUUGACGCUGAGGCGCGAAAGCCAGGGGAGCAAACGGGAUUAGAAACCCGAGUAGU